CACGUAGGGGGCAAGCGUUGUUCGGAUUCAUUGGGCGUAAAGGGUGCGUAGGCGGCGCGGUAAGUCGGGUGUGAAAUCUCGGGGCUUAACUCCGAAACUGCAUUCGAUACUGCCGUGCUUGAGGACUGGAGAGGAGACUGGAAUUUACGGUGUAGCGGUGAAAUGCGUAGAUAUCGUAAGGAAGACCAGUGGCGAAGGCGGGUCUCUGGACAGUUCCUGACGCUGAGGCACGAAGGCCAGGGGAGCAAACGGG
rnacentral:rRNA from 1 species